rnacentral:rRNA from 1 species
ACGGGUGGAGUAACGCGUGGGUAACCGUGCCUCAUACAGGGGGAGUAACAGUUAGAAACGACUGCUAAUACCGCAUAAGCGCACGGGAUUGCAUGAUCCAGUGUGAAAAACUCCGGUGGUGUGAGAUGGACCCGCGUUGGAUUAGCCAGUUGGCAGGGUAACGGCCUACCAAAGCGACGAUCCAUAGCCGGCCUGAGAGGGUGGACGGCCACAUUGGGACUGAGACACGGCCCAGACUCCUACGGGAGGCAGCAUG